CCAGGUUAGGGCAGCAGGGCACUGCCGUUGCAGUCAAACAUUAUCCUAUGGAAUGGGUGCUGUGGAGGGGCAAUUUUGUAAAUGAGGAGGCUAUUGUUCUCAGAGACGGGGCAGAGGGAUCCUGUGACAGAGAUCAAUAGGGAUCACUGAAGAUGUUGCAUCAGUGUCCAGUAACAAGAACAGAGGGAAUUUAAUAGAAAGAACUGUUAGGUCUAAAGUUGCUAACUGGGUAACUGAAGGGUCACAGGAGACCUCUCAGGCCUCAGGAGCAGACGUAGCAACUGCAGGACGCAGCCACCAUUCCUCAGGCUGAGGGAGCAAAGGGAAAGGUAGAAACACAAGGGAAGCCCUGAGCAGCUGAACCUCAGACUUGUGAAGAGGGAGAGCCCGGGCGCCGGGACCCAGACUUCUGAGCAGGGGUGCCAGCCGGCUGUUGACAGUGUCUCCUGGGGGGCGGGCUGGGGAGAGAGAUCCUGCGAGAGCUGGAAAAGCUGCGAACUGGAUUCAGCUGCUGCUUCAGCAGGGCGCUGCCCGCGGCCAGGGUGAGGAACAGUUGUUGGGAUGGUGCUCACAGAAACAGGAAGCCCACAGGAAGCCGCCGGGGAACAAACAGGAAAGAGCGAGCCGGCUCCCUCCUCCACCGGCGGUCUCCUUCCAGCGCCCUGUCGGCAGAGCCUCCCACAGAGGCCACUGCAGAGCGGAAAUGAGCCCGCGGGAUCCCAGCUCCAGCCCCUCAGGGCCAGCGACUUCCUGACGGACCCAGGCGUCCUGUUUCAGGUGUUCUGCUUGGUGCUGUGGACUCCUGGAGGUCAGGGACAGCCGUGAUCUCUCUGUGACCUUCUCAGGGACUGGCAUCCUUCCCGGGCAGAGCAGGCCCUAGUAAGUCUGUGUUAUGCUGAGAUGAGCUGCAUAGCUGGAGCACAGGACAGGCGUGUCCUGGGCCAAUCCGCAGCGCUCCCUGCCCAGCCUUCAGAGUCCCUGUCUAUCUUCCCAGCGGGUAUGAUUCCAGGCUCUCCCUGGGGCACUGCGUGGGGCCAGGGAGCGGGUGUUGAACACCGACUGUGAACAAGGCUCUGCCCAGCCUGGUUGAGGUGCCCCAAUUCCCUUGUCAUCCUGACCCACUUUCUGAGAAAUUCCACAGGAGGGUCCCAGCGCCACCACUGAUAAGCUGUGUGGCUUUGGGAGGGGUAGUGGACUAUUCUGAGCCUCCGUUUCCCCAGAAUGCCCGCUUUGGUCCCUUAAUGUCUUCCCCAAGAGACAAGAAGAGACUCUUGGUCCUCUCCGUCCCAUGUCCAUCUCUCUCCCCCAUCUCCUCCUCCUUAGAGGGGUGAAAAUUUAGCUUCAUAGUUCGGCUUUGAAAGGCGGUCAGUAUUAGUAAGAUGGAGACCAGUUUAGUGCAGAGGAACGUAAAGAUCCAGGCCAACUGGGACUUGCUGGGCAGAGUUCAAGGGGCAGCCGCAGGAUGCAGCAUGGCGCACUCUGUGGAGAGGGGGAGCAGAGGUGGCGCGAAGGCGAGGAAGCAGAGAAGAGAUCCACAAAGAGCCCAGUGCCUCAAAGGGAGGCUAAUUGAGUCCAAGGACUGACGGCGGGCCUGGACCCAUUGGCAUCCUGCCAGCCAAGAAGCACCUGCUUCCUUCAGAAUUUAGCUUUCCUUUGUUGAAUGCAGCUCUCAGGUUCUGGUGGCUGCCAGCAUUCCUUGGCUUGUGGCUCCGUCACUCCAGUCUUCAAGGCUGGCGUCUUCAAAUCUCUCCCCGUGAUCUGUCUUCACCGGACCUUCUCCUGUGCGUGAAGUUCUUCCUGGAGAAAUUGGUUUGAGCGGGAGAAGCAGGUGGGAGAAGGAGAAGCCAAGCAGUGUGAAAUCUGAAGCCCCAGCCUCAGGCUUCUCCCCCAGGGAGCUUGAAAGAGAAAAGUCCCUGAUGGGAUCAAAUCUCACAGAAUUGCCUUGGCUUUUCUUGGUGGGAUAUGUGAGACGGAGCCUAGAAAUCCUGCAGCCAUUUUGCUCCCAGAGGGAAACCAGCCUUAGUGUGAAGCUGAUAUUAUGAAAGAGAGAGCAGAGAUGGGACAAUACGGGAUCCUUGCUGAUGUUGUCACUGAAUCAACCCACUCUGAUCCUGCCUCUGAAAUUUCUGUUUAUCUGAGCUAAUAAAUC
ensembl:lncRNA